UACUGGACAAAGAAGGAACCCCACAGAAAGCAACGAUGAAUGUGGUGUUCAAAGAAGUUUUUCAAAACAUAUAACAAUUUUCUUUGCAAACGACAUGAUAUGCAAGAGAGAAAAGCUGGAAUCUAAAGGCAUUUGGAAAGUAUUGUGGUUACUGAAAUCAUUUUCUAGAUAAGAAAUAAUGUUGUUUUGAAUCAACUAUUUGUUCUUUUCAUCUUCUCUUUUUUCCAGAAUAUCAAAAUCCAAUUCAAAACAGCUUAACUUUGUUUUAUAAAAUUGCAAAUCUUAAAAAUUUUCAAAACAGCUUAACUUUGUUUAAAUUCAAAACAGCUUAACUUUGUUUUCAAGUACGGGUUAAAACCAUCCUCAUCAAUUUUCUUUUGGGAAUUUUGUAGAUAUCACUGAAAUAACGAAAAAUGUAAACUAUAUAUGUUGCA